rnacentral:rRNA from 1 species
UACGAAGGGGGCUAGCGUUGUUCGGAAUUACUGGGCGUAAAGCGCACGUAGGCGGAUUGUUAAGUUAGGGGUGAAAUCCCGGGGCUCAACCCCGGAACUGCCUUUAAUACUGGCAAUCUCGAGUCCGAGAGAGGUGAGUGGAAUUCCGAGUGUAGAGGUGAAAUUCGUAGAUAUCAGGAGGAACACCGGUGGCGAAGGCGGUGGUCUGGGCCGGCACUGACGCUGAGGAGCGAAAGCGUGGGUAGCAAACAGG